rnacentral:lncRNA from 1 species
CCCUAUGUUCUAUUUUUAGCAAUGGCGACCAUGUUUGUUGAUAGAUCAUAACUUCGGAUACAAUUUACAAACAAGAUACCCUAAGGAACAUUCAAUUAAAGUUUGGAAGUAUUUGGCCCAGUAGUUUCAGAGGAGAAGAUUUUUGUAAAAGAUUACUAAGAUUUACGAAAAAUGGUUAAAAAUUGACUAUAAAGGGCAAUAACUGCUAAAGGGGUCAACUGACCAUUUCCGUCAUGUUGACUUAUUUGUAAAUCUUACUUUGCUGAACAUUAUUCCUGUUUACAGUUUAUCUCUAUCUAUAAUAAUAUUCAAGAUAAUAACCAAAAACAGCAAAAUUUCUUAAAAUUACCAAUUCAGGGGCAGCAACCCAACAACGGGUUGUCUGAUUCAUCUGAAAAUUUCAGGGCAGAUAGAUCUUGACCUGAUAAACAAUAUUACCCCUGUCAGAUUUGCUCUAAAUGCUUUGGUUUUUGAGUUAUAAGCCAAAAACUGCAUUUGACCCCUAUGUUCUAUUUUUAGC